UACGUAGGGGGCUAGCGUUGUCCGGAAUCAUUGGGCGUAAAGCGCGUGUAGGCGGCCCGGUAAGUCCGCUGUGAAAGUCCAGGGCUCAACCCUGGGAUGCCGGUGGAUACUGUCGGGCUAGAGUCCGGAAGGGGCGAGUGGAAUUCCUGGUGUAGCGGUGAAAUGCGCAGAUAUCAGGAGGAACACCAAUGGCGAAGGCAGCUCGCUGGGACGUGACUGACGCUGAGACGCGAAAGCGUGGGGAGCAAACAGG
rnacentral:rRNA from 1 species